GAUGAACGCUGGCGGCGUGCCUAAUACAUGCAAGUAGAACGCUGAAGGAGGAGCUUGCUCUUCUGGAUGAGUUGCGCACGGGUGUGUAACGCGUAGGUAACCUGCCUGGUAGCGGGGGAUAACUAUUGGAAACGAUAGCUAAUACCGCAUGACAACAGUUAUUGCAUGAUAAUUGUUUAAAAGGGGCAACUGCUCCACUACCAGAUGGACCUGCGUUGUAUUAGCUAGUUGGUGAGUUAACGGCUCACCAAGGCGACGAUACAUAGCCGACCUGAGAGGGUGAUCGGCCACACUGGAACUGAGACACGGCCCAGACUCCUACGGGAGGCAGCAGUGGGGAAUCUUCGGCAAUGGACGGAAGUCUGACCGAGCAACGCCGCGUGAGUGAAGAAGGUUUUCGGAUCGUAAAGCUCUGUUGUAAGGGAGGAACGGGUGUGAGAGUGGAAAGUUCACACUGGAAGGGUAUCUUACCAGAAGGGAAGGGCAAAUUAGGU
rnacentral:rRNA from 1 species